rnacentral:rRNA from 1 species
UAGAGCGGCGCACGGGUGAGUAACGCGUACAUGACCUACCUCUAAGACUGGGAUAGCCCUGGGAAACUGGGAUUAAUACCGGAUGUGAUAAUAUGUAUAGAGAUGUAUAUUAUUAAAGAUGAGUCGCUUAGAGAUGGGUGUGCGUUUGAUUAGCUAGUUGGUAGGGUAACGGCCUACCAAGGCAACGAUCAAUAGGGGGCGUGAGAGCGUGGCCCCCCACACGGGUACUGAGACACGGACCCGACUCCUACGGGAGGCAGCAGUAAGGAAUAUUGGUCAAUGGACGAAAGUCUGAACCAGCCAUCCCGCGUGCAGGAUGACGGCCCUAUGGGUUGUAAACUGCUUUUGGCAGAGACGAAACGCCUUCAUUUAUGGGGGUCUGACGGUAUCUGCAGAAUAAGCACCGGCUAACUCCGUGCCAGCAGCCGCGGUAAUACGGAGGGUGCAAGCGUUAUCCGGAAUCACUGGGUUUAAAGGGUGCGUAGGCGGGGAAUUAAGUCAGUGGUGAAAGCCUGUCGCUUAACGAUAGAAUUGCCAUUGAUACUGAUUUUCUUGAAUUGGGUUGAGGUUAGCGGAAUGUGACAUGUAGCGGUGAAAUGCAUAGAUAUGUCAUGGAACACCAAUUGCGAAGGCAGCUAGCUGGGCCUUGAUUGACGCUGAGGCACGAAAGCGUGGGUAGCGAACAGGAUUAGAUACCCUGGUAGUCCACGCCCUAAACGAUGCUAACUCGAUGU